rnacentral:rRNA from 1 species
UACGUAGGGGGCAAGCGUUGUCCGGAUUUAUUGGGUUUAAAGGGUGCGUAGGUGGCCCGUUAAGUCCGGGGUGAAAGCCCACUGCUCAACAGUGGAACUGCCCUGGAUACUGACGGGCUUGAGUCCAGACGAGGUUGGCGGAAUGGAUGGUGUAGCGGUGAAAUGCAUAGAUACCAUCCAGAACCCCGAUUGCGUAGGCAGCUGACUAGGCUGGUACUGACACUGAGGCACGAAAGCGUGGGGAGCGAACAGG